ensembl:misc_RNA Metazoa_SRP Metazoan signal recognition particle RNA
UGCCAACCAGGUGUCCACACUAAGUUAGGCACCACUAUGGUGACCUCCUGGGAGCAGGGGACCACCAGGUUGCCUAAGGAUGGUGAACUGGUCCAGCUCAGAAAUGCAGCAGGUCAGAACUCCCGUGCCUAUUGGUAGUGGGACUGCACCUGGGCA